rnacentral:rRNA from 1 species
ACGAACGCUGGCGGCGUGCCUAACACAUGCAAGUCGAGCGGAGAAUGCGGAUAUGUUUACAUGGAAGUAUUCUAGCGGCGGACGGGUGAGUAACACGUGGGUAACCUGCCUCAAAGAGGGGGAUAGCCUUCCGAAAGGAAGAUUAAUACCGCAUAAGCCUGCAGUACCGCAUGGUACAGCAGGAAAAGGAGCAAUCCGCUUUGAGAUGGACCCGCGGCGCAUUAGCUAGUUGGUGAGGUAACGGCUCACCAAGGCGACGAUGCGUAGCCGACCUGAGAGGGUGAUCGGCCACAUUGGAACUGAGACACGGUCCAGACUCCUACGGGAGGCAGCAGUGGGGAAUAUUGCACAAUGGGCGAAAGCCUGAUGCAGCCAACGCCGCGUGAAUGAUGAAGGCCUUCGGGUCGUAAAGUUCUUUGAUCAGGGAUGAUAAUGACAGUACCUGAAAACAAGCCACGGCUAACUACGUGCCAGCAGCGGC